rnacentral:rRNA from 1 species
UGGCUCAGAACGAACGCUGGCGGCAGGCUUAACACAUGCAAGUCGAGCGGGCGUAGCAAUACGUCAGCGGCAGACGGGUGAGUAACGCGUGGGAACGUACCUUUUGGUUCGGAACAACACAGGGAAACUUGUGCUAAUACCGGAUAAGCCCUUACGGGGAAAGAUUUAUCGCCGAAAGAUCGGCCCGCGUCUGAUUAGCUAGUUGGUGAGGUAAUGGCUCACCAAGGGAACAAUCAGUAGCUGGUCUGAGAGGAUGAUCAGCCACAUUGUGAUCUGAGACACGGGGCAGACUCCUACG